CACCUGAUUUCCAUUCCGAACUCAGAAGUGAAACGAAUUAGCGCCGAUGGUAGUGUGGGGCUUCCCCAUGUGAGAGUAGGACAUCGCCAGGC
rnacentral:rRNA from 1 species